GGACGACGCUGGCGGCGCGCCUAAACACAUGCAAGUCGAACGGAGAAAGAAACAGCUUGCUGGAUCUUUCUUAGUGGCGGACGGGUGAGUAACACGUGAGCAACCUGCCCUUCAGAGUGGAAUAACGUUUGGAAACGAACGCUAAUACCGCAUAACAUAGCGAGACCGCAUGAUCUUGCUAUCAAAGAUUUUAUCGGUGAAAGAUGGACUCGCGUCCGAUUAGGUAGUUGGUGAGGUAACGGCCCACCAAGCCGACGAUCGGUAGCCGGACUGAGAGGGUGACCGGCCACAUUGGGACUGAGACACGGCCCAAACUCCUACGGGAGGCAGCAGUGGGGAAUAUUGGGCAAUGGGCGAAAGCCUGACCCAGCAACGCCGCGUGAAGGAAGAAGGCCUUCGGGUUGUAAACUUCUUUACCAGGGACGAAGAACGUGACGGUACCUGGAGAAAAAGCAACGGCUAACUACGUG
rnacentral:rRNA from 1 species